ACGGAAGGCAGCAGUGGGGAAUAUUGGACAAUGGGGGAAACCCUGAUCCAGCGACGCCGCGUGAGUGAAGAAGUAUUUCGGUAUGUAAAGCUCUAUCAGCAAGGAAGAAAAUGACGGUACUUGACUAAGAAGCCCCGGCUAACUACGUGCCAGCAGCCGCGGUAGUACGUAGGGGGCAAGCGUUAUCCGGAUUUACUGGGUGUAAAGGGAGCGUAGACGGUAUGGCAAGUCUGAAGUGAAAUGCAUGGGCUCAACCCAUGAACUGCUUUGGAAACUGUCAAACUAGAGUGCAGGAGAGGUAAGUGGAAUUCCUAGUGUAGCGGUGAAAUGCGUAGAUAUUAGGAGGAACACCAGUGGCGAAGGCGGCUUACUGGACUGUAACUGACGUUGAGGCUCGAAAGCGUGGGGAGCAAACAGGAUUAGAUACCCUGGUA
rnacentral:rRNA from 1 species